AAGCAGGUAGUUUAAGUAAAAUAUUUGGUUUCGGCCCAGAAGAUAAUGCAAUGUUCCUGGUUU
rnacentral:tRNA from 1 species